UGAAACACGGUCGAUUUAAGAGUUGAAAACGUUGAAAUGCCUAUAAGCAAGUCUUAAGUUGGUGGUUUCGUUGUGCCCCAACAAAUUGGUGCCUUACCCUACACCAAAGAGCCAUUCAACAUGGUUCAAGUGAGCGAUAAUCACAUUCUACGCUCAGUUCGACAGCUACAAGGCAAUCACUCGCUAUGUUCAGAGCUAAUACAUGCAACAUGCCGGCAUUGUUUCCACCGACGCAUGGAUUCAAGACUGGUGCACUUAUUAGUUAAACCGUUCGCCUCCGGGUGUUUCGAGUUCAAGUCUGGAUGAGGAUUGUUCUUGCUGGUAAUAGCUUGAGCCCCUGAAUAAGGGGUCGAAGCGUACAUCUUGAGACCAUGUACAACAUAUUACCAAAUCGGCACCAUGGGUUCGGGUGCAAGUGAUGUAACCGUGAAAGAUGUUGAGCAGCCCAACAUCGGUUUACACACGCAUAAUAGGAAGGCAGCGCUGUCGACUGGUCAGUCGUGUAAGAAGUGUGCAUUAUCGAUCUCCAAUAUAUGAGCUCAGUAUGACAGCCCAAUUGGUAAUCCUCGGGACCUCCAGAAAGGAAGCUGGAUGAGGAUUACCAAAUCGAAAGUUGAUAAGUGUAGUGGUACCACUUAGUCAACUUGUAUCCCGAAAGAUGGUGAACCGAGUCGUCUGGCGUAAAAACCGGACGACUCGAAAGGGCUUGACCCUUUCAAGUGAGCGAUAAUCACGCUCUACGCUCAGUUCGACAGCUGCAAGGCAAUCACUCGCUAAGUUCAGAGCUAAUACAUGCAACACGCCGGCAUUGUUUCCACCGACGCAUGGAUUCAAGACUGGUGCACUUAUUAGUUAAACCGUUCGCCUCCGGGUGUUUCGAGUUCAAGUCUGGAUGAGGAUUGUUCUUGCUGGUAAUAGCUUGAGCCCUUAAGGGGUCGAAGCGUACAUCUUGAGACCAUGUACAACAUAUUACCAAAUCGGCACCAUGGGUUCUGGUGCAAGUGAUGUAACCGUGAAAGAUGUUGAGCAGCCCAACAUCGGUUUACACACGCAUAAUAGGAAGGCAGCGCUGUCGACUGGUCAGUCGUGUAAGAAGUGUGCAUUAUCGAUCACAAAUAUAUUGUGAUCUGUAGGUUGCGCAUACACCAUGCCCGGUGUAAAGUGCCGUGGUCCCCCCCGGGGGGCUGCAUCAAACCGUUCGCCACGCGAACUACCCAAUGGAACGAACUCGAUGCAUUUAAUAAGAAGAAGAGAUGAUAAUGAAACACGGUCGAUUAAAGAGUUGAAAACGUUGAAAUA